GAUGAACGCUAGCUAUAGGCUUAACACAUGCAAGUCGAGGGGAAACGACAUUGAAGCUUGCUUCGAUGGGCGUCGACCGGCGCACGGGUGAGUAACGCGUAUCCAACCUGCCUCUGACUAAGGGAUAACCCGGCGAAAGUCGGACUAAUACCUUAUGAGGUUUUCUGCAGACAUCUAAUGAAAACGAAAGAUUUAUCGGUCAGUGAUGGGGAUGCGUCUGAUUAGCUUGUUGGCGGGGUAACGGCCCACCAAGGCAACGAUCAGUAGGGGUUCUGAGAGGAAGGUCCCCCACAUUGGAACUGAGACACGGUCCAAACUCCUACGGGAGGCAGCAGUGAGGAAUAUUGGUCAAUGGGCGAGAGCCCGAACCAGCCAAGUAGCGUGCAGGAUGACGGCCCUAUGGGUUGUAAACUGCUUUUAUGUGGGGAUAAAGUGAGCUACGUGUAGUUUAUUGCAGGUACCACA
rnacentral:rRNA from 1 species